rnacentral:rRNA from 1 species
ACGCUCGACACCUACGGGGGCAGCAGUGGGGAAUAUUGCACAAUGGGGGAAACCCUGAUGCAGCAACGCCGCGUGAAGGAAGACGGUUUUCGGAUUGUAAACUUCUGUUCUUAGUGAAGAUAGUGACGGUAGCUAAGGAGCAAGCCACGGCUAACUACGUGCCAACAGCCGCGGUAAUACUGAGCGGGCGUGGCAAGGAC